rnacentral:rRNA from 1 species
GACGAACGCUGGCGGCGUGCUUAACACAUGCAAGUCGAACGGUAAGGCCCUUCGGGGUACACGAGUGGCGAACGGGUGAGUAACACGUGGGUGAUCUGCCCUGCACUUCGGGAUAAGCCUGGGAAACUGGGUCUAAUACCGGAUAGGACCACUGCCUGCAUGGGUGGUGGUGGAAAGCUUUUGCGGUGUGGGAUGGGCCCGCGGCCUAUCAGCGGGUUGGUGGGGUUAUGGCCUACCAAGGCGACGACGGGUAGCCGGCCUGAGAGGGUGACCGGCCACACUGGGACUGAGAUACGGCCCAGACUCCUACGGGAGGCAGCAGUGGGGAAUAUUGCACAAUGGGCGCAAGCCUGAUGCAGCGACGCCGCGUGAGGGAUGACGGCCUUCGGGUUGUAAACCUCUUUCAGCACCGACGAAGCGCAAGUGACGGUAGGUGCAGAAGAAGGACCGGCCAACUACGUGCCAGCCGCCGCCGUAA